rnacentral:sRNA from 1 species
ACCUGGUGCGGUGGCGCACACCUGUAGUCCCAGCAACUUGGGAGGCUGAGACAGGAGGAUUACAAAUUUGAGGCCAGCCUCAGCAACUUAGCAAGGCACUAAGCAACUUAGUGAGACCCUGCCUCAA